GGCACAGAUAUCGCUAAGUAAUCGGCACAGGUAACCAACGGCGGUUGCCCCACCAACGACAACGACGUCGC
ncrna:unclassified sequences narK RNA